rnacentral:rRNA from 2 species
UGGGGAAUAUUGCACAAUGGGCGCAAGCCUGAUGCAGCAACGCCGCGUGAGUGAUGAAGGCUUUCGGGUCGUAAAACUCUGUCCUAUGGGAAGAAAAAAAUGACGGUACCAUAGGAGGAAGCCCCGGCUAACUACGUGCCAGCAGCCGCGGUAAUACGUAGGGGGCAAGCGUUAUCCGGAAUCACUGGGCGUAAAGGGUGCGUAGGUGGCUUAUCAAGCCAGAGGUGAAAGGCAUUGGCUCAACCAAUGUAAGCCUUUGGAACUGAUAGGCUUGAGUGCAGGAGAGGUAAGUGGAAUUCCUAGUGUAGAGGUGAAAUUCGUAGAUAUUAGGAGGAACACCAGUGGCGAAGGCGACUUACUGGACUGUAACUGACACUGAGGCACGAAAGCGUGGGUAGCGAACA